CCUACGGGCGGCAGCAGUGGGGGAUAUUGCACAAUGGGGGAAACCCUGAUGCAGCGACGCCGCGUGGGUGAAGAAGCGCCUCGGCGCGUAAAGCCCUGUCAGCAGGGAAGAAAAUGACGGUACCUGAAGAAGAAGCCCCGGCUAACUACGUGCCAGCAGCCGCGGUAAUACGUAGGGGGCAAGCGUUAUCCGGAUUUACUGGGUGUAAAGGGGGCGCAGACGGCGAUGCAAGCCAGGAGUGAAAGCCCGGGGCCCAACCCCGGGACUGCUCUUGGAACUGCGUGGCUAGAGUGCAGGAGGGGCAGGCGGAAGUCCUGGUGUAGCGGUGAAAUGCGUAGAUAUCAGGAGGAACACCGGUGGCGAAGGCGGCCUGCUGGACUGCAACUGACGUUGAGGCCCAAAAGCGUGGGGAGCAAACAGGAUUAGAUACCCCAGUAGUC
rnacentral:rRNA from 1 species